AGGGAUCAUUAUAGGACUUUACCGUCAUAAACCAUCGUGAACCUUACUUCAACGUUGCCUCGGCGGGUGUCGCGGCGGGGGACUACGCGUCCCGCGCCCGGCGCCAAACCCGCCGGCGGCCCGCAACUCUUGCUUCUAGCUGUAUCUCUGAGCACUAUACAUAAAUGAGUCAAAACUUUCAACAACGGAUCUCUUGGUUCUGGCAUCGAUGAAGAACGCAGCGAAAUGCGAUAAGUAAUGUGAAUUGCAGAAUUCAGUGAAUCAUCGAAUCUUUGAACGCACAUUGCGCCCGCCGGUAUCCCGGCGGGCAUGCCUGUUCGAGCGUCAUUUCUAUCUUCAGGCCUCGCCUGGUGUUGGGGCGCCACCGACGGUGGGCCCCCAAAGCCAGUGGCGGGCUCGUCAAGGACCCGAGCGUAGUAGCCUGUAUACAUCUCGCUCAGGGAACC
rnacentral:misc_RNA from 1 species